GAUGAACGCUAGCUACAGGCUUAACACAUGCAAGUCGAGGGGAAACGGCAUUAAGUGCUUGCACUUUUUGGACGUCGACCGGCGCACGGGUGAGUAACGCGUAUCCAACCUUCCCAUGACUAAGGGAUAACCUGCCGAAAGGCAGACUAAUACCUUAUGGUCUUCACUGACGGCAUCAGAUGUGAAGUAAAGAUUUAUCGGUUAUGGAUGGGGAUGCGUCUGAUUAGCUUGUUGGCGGGGUAACGGCCCACCAAGGCAACGAUCAGUAGGGGUUCUGAGAGGAAGGUCCCCCACAUUGGAACUGAGACACGGUCCAAACUCCUACGGGAGGCAGCAGUGAGGAAUAUUGGUCAAUGGGCGAGAGCCUGAACCAGCCAAGUAGUGUGCAGGAUGACGGCCCUAUGGGUUGUAAACUGCUUUUGUAUGGGGAUAAAGUCAAUCACGUGUGAUUGUUUGCAGGUACCAUACGAAUAAGGACCGGCUAAUUCCGUG
rnacentral:rRNA from 1 species